AUGAUGGAAGUGGAACAGAAGAGGAAGCGGAGGUUCUGCCAGUUCACCUACUGCGGUGGCGUGGACCUCAACCAGCUGCUGGACAUGGCCUAUGAGCAGCUGAUGCAGCUAUACAGUAUGUGCCAGCAGCGGGAGCUAAACCGAGGUAAGCGGAGGAAGCAGCACUGCUGCUGAAUCGGCUACUCAAGGCCAAGAAAGAUGCGCCGCCCAUGGAGAACCUCCAGGUGGUGAAGACACACCUGCCACAUAAUCAUCCUGCCCGAAAUAGUGGGCGUCUACAACUGCAAGACCUUCAACCAGGUGGAAAUCAAGCCUGAGAUGAUCAGCCACUACCUAGGAGAGUUUUCCAUCACCUACAAGCCCGUGAAGCACGGCCAGCCUGGUAUCGGGGCUACCCAUUCCUCCCACUUCAUCCCCCUCAAGUAA
rnacentral:lncRNA from 1 species